rnacentral:rRNA from 1 species
GACGAACGCUGGCGGCGUGCUUAAUACAUGCAAGUCGAGCGAGGUUACUGUUUCGGAUCCCUUCGGGGUGAAGAAGCUUUAACCUAGCGGCGGACGGGUGAGUAACGCGUGGGUAACCUACCCCAAAGUCCGGGAUAACAGCGGGAAACCGCUGCUAAUACCGGAUGCCUUUACCUUGGGGCAUCUUGAGGUAAAGAAAGGUAACGCUUUGGGAUGGGCCCGCGUCCCAUUAGCUAGUUGGUGAGGUAACGGCUCACCAAGGCGACGAUGGGUAGCCGGCCUGAGAGGGUGGACGGCCACACUGGGACUGAGACACGGCCCAGACUCCUACGGGAGGCAGCAGUAGGGAAUAUUGCGCAAUGGACGGAAGUCUGACGCAGCGACGCCGCGUGAGCGAUGAAGGUCUUCGGAUCGUAAAGCUCUGUCCUUGGGAAGAAGGCGAAAGCUUGACGGUACCCAAGAAGAAAGCCCGGCUAACUACGUG